rnacentral:rRNA from 1 species
UACAGAGGUGGCAAGCGUUGUUCGGAAUUACUGGGCGUAAAGGGCUCGUAGGCGGCCAACUAAGUCAGACGUGAAAUCCCUCGGCUUAACCGGGGAACUGCGUCUGAUACUGGAUGGCUUGAGGUUGGGAGAGGGAUGCGGAAUUCCGGGUGUAGCGGUGGAAUGCGUAGAGAUCCGGAAGAACACCGGUGGCGAAGGCGGCCUGCUGGGCAGUAGCUGACACUGAGGCGCGACAGCGUGGGGAGCAAACAGG